rnacentral:SRP_RNA from 1 species
GCCAGGUGUGGUGGUGCAUGCCUAUAGUCCCAGCUACUUGGGAGGCUGAGGUGGGAGGAUUGAUUGAGCCCAGGAGUUCUGGGCUGUAGUCCGCUAUGCCGAUCGGGUGUUUGCACUAAGUUCGGCAUCAAUGUGGUGACCUUCCGGGAGUAGGGGACCACCAGGUUGCCUAAGGAGGGGUGAACCGUCCCAGGUUGGAAACGGAGCAGGUCAAAAUUCCCGUGCUGAUCAGUAGUGGGAUCGUGCCUGUGAAUAGCCACUGCACUUCAGCCUGGGCAACACAGUGAAAUCCCGUCUCU